UAGAGGAAGUAAAAGUCGUAACAAGGUCUCCGUUGGUGAACCAGCGGAGGGAUCAUUACAGAGUUGCAAAACUCCCACAAACCAUCGCGAAUCUUACCCGUACGGUUGCCUCGGCGCUGGCGGUCCGGAAGGCCCUCGGGCCCCCGGACCCUCGGGUCUCCCGCUCGCGGGAGGCUGCCCGCCGGAGUGCCGAAACCAAACUCUUGAUAUUUUAUGUCUCUCUGAGUAAACUUUUAAAUAAGUCAAAACUUUCAACAACGGAUCUCUUGGUUCUGGCAUCGAUGAAGAACGCAGCGAAAUGCGAUAAGUAAUGUGAAUUGCAGAAUUCAGUGAAUCAUCGAAUCUUUGAACGCACAUUGCGCUCGCCAGUAUUCUGGCGAGCAUGCCUGUUCGAGCGUCAUUUCAACCAUCAAGCUCUGCUUGCGUUGGGGAUCCGCGGCUGCCCGCGGUCCCUCAAAAACAGUGGCGGGCUCGCUAGUCACACCGAGCGUAGUAACUCUACAUCGCUAUGGUCGUGCGGCGGGUUCUUGCCGUAAAACCCCCAAUUUCUAAGGUUGACCUCGGAUCAGGUAGGAAUACCCGCUGAACUUAAGCAUAUCAA
rnacentral:rRNA from 1 species